UACAGAGGUCUCAAGCGUUGUUCGGAUUCAUUGGGCGUAAAGGGUGCGUAGGCGGCGCGGUAAGUCGGGUGUGAAAUCUUGGAGCUUAACUCCGAAACUGCAUUCGAUACUGCCGUGCUUGAGGACUGGAGAGGAGACUGGAAUUUACGGUGUAGCGGUGAAAUGCGUAGAUAUCGUAAGGAAGACCAGUGGCGAAGGCGGGUCUCGUGGACAGUUCCUGACGCUGAGACACGAAGGCCAGGGGAGCAAAACGGGG
rnacentral:rRNA from 1 species